CCCCCGCCAAUUCCUUUAAGUUUCAGCCUUGCGGCCGUACUUCCCAGGUGGCUCGCUUCACGGCUUCCCUACGGCACCGACAACGGUCGCACCGUGGCCGACACCUAGCGAGUAUCGUUUACGGCUAGGACUACCCGGGUAUCUAAUCCGGUUCGUGCCCCUAGCUUUCGUCCCUUGCCGUCAGGUCCGUUCUGGUGAGACGCCUUCGCCACUGGUGGUCCUUCAAGGAUUACAAGAUUUCACCCCUACCCCUGAAGUACCUCUCACCUCUCCCGGCCUCGAGCCGAACAGUAUCUCCUGAAAGCCCAACAGUUGAGCUGCUGGAUUUCUCAAGAGACUUAUCCGGCCGGCUACAGACCCUUUAGACCCAAUAAUAACGGUUACCACUCGAGCCGCCGGUGUUACCGCGGCGGCUGGCACCGGUCUUGCCCGGCCCUUGCUAUGCAAUGCUUUUU
rnacentral:rRNA from 1 species